UGUGUUCAUUAGAGCACACACCACAACCAAACGUGUUGCAACGGAAAAAACUAAACAAGCAUUUGAUAUUGCACAAGUUCAGACAGUACCUCCUGUUUCACUGUUUUUCCUCACGUGUUGUGCCUUCGGGAACAUUACCCUGUCCUUUAUUGACUUCUUCUCUGUCCGCCUCUGUAGUGGCCUUUACAUUUAACUUGGCAAGAGCCCAAAUCUAUGACCAGGCUACAGACACCUAGGUUUAUUCCUGUAGACAACUCACACUGCACCACAAACACACACACUAACCCCACUACCUGUAUGUCCCCCUCCGUCUAGGAGCAGUAACUAUGUGGGUCUCUCGGCUCUGCCCCUCUCGGCCAUCAUCACUCCGGAACAUGUCCGUCCCUCCCGGGCUCCAUGACCUCACGUUGGACAGCAGCCAACUGUUUGAGUUCCUUGCUCUUCCUCUACCUGCUGGUGGCGCUGUUCGUUCAGUACAUCGACAUCUAAAGGACCGUGUGGUGGUACCUUUGCAAUCAUCCCGCAGCCUCCACGUUUCUGCAAGCGUUUAAUGUCACAGCGGUGGUCCGUCACAAAGCGUCUGUAGCUGGGGACCAGAUAGGAGGAUCCCAGCCAGACCWCCCWGCCCCUGUAGAAGACACCUGCUGCUGCCUGAGGAACACACAGAGUCUCCAGUUGAGGGGGUCUGCCAACUGUACCUACCGCUGCCAUCCAACCUGCUGUGUUUGAUCCCCCGGCCACCUGGAGCGUGGCCAACCAAUGACUUUCCCACAAUUUACCUGUGGAUUCGAGAGAAMCUCCCCAGUCUGGCCCGGGGAAAAAAGAGUUGUUGUUCCAGCACUCCGCCACCAGAUGGGGCAGUCAUAUUAGGAACCCAGGGUGGGGAGAAGGGAAGAGGGACUCGRUGAUGCCAUUGCCAAUGGGGAAGGUAACUUGACCUAGAUUGGGAUGAGAGUGGAGGAUGAGCUGAAAGAAGAGUGGAAAGAAGGAGAGGAGAGCUGAAUGAGCGGUGUUGUACUUACCCAGUGUAUUAUUGGGUGAUAUUAUUUUGGGAGUGGGACAGAGCUUGGUCAGUGUUUUUACUCGUGCUUUUUAAAAAUGUACUUUUUUUCAUCUCAGUAUUUCUGUACAUGUUGUUUUUUAAUCGUCAGUAUCCUUCCCCCUUGACACCAUAUAGAGAAUUGUUCCACUGUCUAACGCUCGUCUGAAGAAGAGGACCAAAGCGCAGCGUGGUACGUGUUCAUGAUAAUUUAUUCAAACUGA